UGCGCAGGCGGCUUCUCAAGUCAGGGGUGAAAGCCCAGAGCUCAACUCUGGAACUGCCUUUGAGACUGAGUGGCUUGAGUACGGGAGAGGUGAGUGGAAUUCCCAGUGUAGAGGUGAAAUUCGUAGAUAUUGGGAAGAACACCGGUGGCGAAGGCGGCUCACUGGCCCGUAACUGACGCUCAUGCACGACAGCGUGGGGAUCAAACAGGAUUAGAUACCCUGGUAGUCCACGCCGUAAACUAUGAACGCUAGCCGUUGGGUAGCUUGCUAUUCAGUGGCGCAGCUAACGCAUUAAGCGUUCCGCCUGGGGAGUACGGCCGCAAGGUUGAA
rnacentral:rRNA from 2 species